rnacentral:rRNA from 1 species
AUACGUAGGGGGCGAGCGUUGUCCGGAAUGAUUGGGCGUAAAGGGCGCGUAGGCGGCCUGUUAAGUCUGGAGUGAAAGUCCUGUUUUCAAGAUGGGAAUUGCUUUGGAUACUGUCGGGCUUGAGUGCAGGAGAGGUAAGUGGAAUUCCCAGUGUAGCGGGGAAAUGCGUAGAGAUUGGGAGGAACACCAGUGGCGAAGGCGACUUACUGGACUGUAACUGACGCUGAGGCGCGAAAGUGUGGGGAGCAAACAGGAUUAGAUACCCUGGUAGUCCACACUGUAAACGAUGAAUGCUAGGUGUAGGGGGUAUCGACCCCUUCUGUGCCGCAGUCAACACAAUAAGCAUUCCGCCUGGGGAGUACGGCCGCAAGGUUGAAACUCAAAUGAAUUGACGGGG